rfam:Pongo abelii chromosome 7.
GGAUGUGAGGGUGAUCUAGCUGCAACAUCUGUCACCUCAUUGAUCGCCAGUGUUGAUUUGGCUGAUCUGGCUGGAAAGGCGGGUGUCCCCUUCUUCCUUUAUGGCUCCAUGUGCCUCCCUCCUGAAGCUGCAAGCUUUGGUUGAAGAGCAUGAGCUUCUCUCACAGAGGAGGACCUUCCUUCCAUCAAGAAUAAAUGAGUAGCUGUGCUCCCCUGCCAGAACCUCCAAACAAGGUCCAAAGACCCUGAGCAAAUGAAAAGGCACAGACAAAAAAUAUAUAUAUUUCAAUACAAGUAUAUGACACAGAAUAU